AUAAACUGUCCUACCUCUCUUUCAAAUCUUACCUGAAACUGAAAGCAUAGCUUCCUCCAAGAUAAAAGGGCUGGAGCACUGCCUCCUCGAAAGGCACCGGGACCGAACCACUGAGGAUCCACAGGAAGUCAGUUAUUUUUUAACUUGGAGAUGACAUCUCUUCUAGCCAUAGCAGUUCAGUUUUUGAUCCUAACUCCGUGGAGGAUACAACAGGUGACCAGCUGGAUAUUGUCAACCCAGUCAUCUCAGCUGGACAUGGCUGACAAUGCAUUUGAUGAUCAGUAUGAGGGCUGUACUAAAGAAAUGGAGAAAAAGGCAUCCCAGCUGUUAAAAGAAGAAAUGCGAAUGAAUGGACUUUUAAGGAGUGAAUGGGAAAAGGCAGAAGAAUACUGGAAGCAAAACAUGAAGAAGAGAAUAAACUAUCCAAAACAAUUCAAUGAUUUCCACGGAACAGCUCUAGUGGCCUAUACGGGGGACAUUGCAGUAGAAUUUAACAGAGCUGUAAGAGAAUUCCGUCAAAAUUCACUUAACUUUCACUUCAAAGCCUUCCAUUAUUAUUUGACAAGAGCACUUCAGCUUCUCUCUACA